rnacentral:rRNA from 1 species
UACGGGGGGAGCAAGCGUUGUUCGGAUUUACUGGGCGUAAAGGGCGCGUAGGCGGCGCAACAAGUCACUUGUGAAAUCUCCGGGCUUAACCCGGAGCGGCCAAGUGAUACUGUCGUGCUAGAGUGCGGAAGGGGCUACUGGAAUUCUCGGUGUAGCGGUGAAAUGCGCAGAUAUCAGGAGGAACACCGGUGGCGAAGGCGGUUCUCUGGGCAUUACCUGACGCUGAGGAGCGAAAGUGUGGGGAGCGAACAGG